rnacentral:rRNA from 1 species
UACAGGGGGGGCAAGCGUUGUUCGGAAUUACUGGGCGUAAAGGGCUCGUAGGUGGCCAACUAAGUCAGACGUGAAAUCCCUCAGCUUAACUGGGGAACUGCGUCUGAUACUGGAUGGCUUGAGUUUGGGAGAGGGAUGCGGAAUUCCAGGUGUAGCGGUGAAAUGCGUAGAUAUCGGGAGGAAUACCUAUGGCGAAAGCAGGUAUCUGGGCCAUCACUGACGCUGAGCUGCGAAAGCUAGGGGAGCAAACAGG